rnacentral:tRNA from 1 species
GGUCAGGUACCCAAGUGGCCAACGGGGGCAGACUGUAAAUCUGCUGCUUACGAGCUUCCAAGGUUCGAAUCCUUGCCUGACCACCA